AAAUGCAGUAGUAAAGUCAGCUAGGUAAAAGAGCUUGAACACUGAAAACUGAUAAAUGUAUCCUGAAGAUCUCAUCUGGGGAAGGAAAAAACGGGGAUGUAGGAGAGGAGGAACAGAAACCUAGAGGUGGGAAAGAUUCACAUUCUAGGACGAAAGGGGAAAGGAAAAUGAGAAGAAAUGCAUCCGGUUCAACCCAUCAAUGUUUCAGAUAGAGAUUCUUCAGAUCGUCCCGGAAAUUAUUUUCGCCAUAGCCCCGGCUCAGAACAAUUUCAAACACCUACGGAUGCGACAUAAAGCAUUAGCCUGAGGGAGACCAUACGAUGAGCACGUAACACGAAGGUCCCGAAUCUACAGUCUGCAAUCAAUCACCGGCAUUUCUUGAGUGCUUACUGUGUGCAGAAAACUGAACCAAGUGCUUGGG